rnacentral:rRNA from 1 species
AUUGAACGCUGGCGGCAGGCCUAACACAUGCAAGUCGAACGGUAGCACAGAGAGCUUGCUCUCGGGUGACGAGUGGCGGACGGGUGAGUAACGUCUGGGAAACUGCCCGAUGGAGGGGGAUAACUACUGGAAACGGUAGCUAAUACCGCAUAACGUCGCAAGACCAAAGUGGGGGACCUUCGGGCCUCACACCAUCGGAUGUGCCCAGAUGGGAUUAGCUAGUAGGUGGGGUAAUGGCUCACCUAGGCGACGAUCCCUAGCUGGUCUGAGAGGAUGACCAGCCACACUGGAACUGAGACACGGUCCAGACUCCUACGGGAGGCAGCAGUGGGGAAUAUUGCACAAUGGGCGCAAGCCUGAUCCAGCCAUGCCGCGUGUGUGAAGAAGGCCUUAUGGUUGUAAAGCACUUUAAGCGAGGAGGAGGCUCUUUUGGUUAAUACCCAAGAUGAGUGGACGUUACUCGCAGAAUAAGCACCGGCUAACUCUGUACCAGCCGCCGCCGUAA